GACAAGAGGAUGGGACUGCAGUUGUGGCUGCCAGGGCCCCGGCCAGGGUGAAAACAAGGAACAUUCCAGAGAAGAUCACAAGGAUGCGAAUAAAAUCGGAGCUGCACAGGGAUCUUUGGGCUGUAAUAGGAGGGGACACACAGGGGUUAGGGGAGGGUCUAGCCCUUGGCUCCCUCAGCCCAGCCCUCCUGUCACCUUGCCUCUCCCCUUUCCCCCACCUUAUUCUAUCCCACCCGCCACCGUUGGCCAACUCCUCUCCUAAACAGUGGACUCUGCUUUUUCCCCUCCUCUUAUCCCUAAUCCUAGGAGCUUUCUGUCUGGCUUCCCUCCUGGCCCCUCGUGUAUGCAUUCUCUCUAGCGGUGGGGAUUAAGGAGAAAACUCACGUGGCCAGUGGGUAGAGAGAGUCCGGGCAGGCAGCUGCCUGAAGUCAGCCAGAGUCUGCAUGUGCCCAGCUGUCCUGGCCUCCAGCAUCUCUGGAAAAACAGAGACAGAAUGAGUAGCAGCAGGGGACCCCAUAGGGCACAUCUGAAGGCCUGAGAGGUGCUGGAUGGGAUGGGAAGGCAGAAACAGGCUGACCUUAUCUAGGGGUAGGAGUGGGGAGUACUGGUUGGGGUAUCACCGCUACCCCACGUGAUGGCACAGAGAGUUGCCUGGAACUUACCACUGACAUAAGAGUCUUGCUUUGUCGCCCAGGUUGGAGUGCAGUGGCACGAUCUCGGCUCAGUGCAACCUCCGCCUCCUGAGUUCAAGUGAUUCUCCUGCCUCAGCCUCCCUAGUAGCUGGGAUUACAGGACAAGGAGAGGGACAAAUUCCUUCUUGGCAUCCUUAUGGCCCUGUGACCUGCUAAUGAAUGCUGACUCUGAGUUGCUACUAGAAUUUGGUUUCCUUGUGGCUUCCCAGGAAUUGUGAGCCAUGUUGGAUAAGGACCUGCAAGGGAAGAAUGAGGAAGCCUGGGACAGUGCAGGAGGGGAGAGCACUGGUGGUAGAGAGGAGUGAUGACAAGGGUCUCCGCCAAAAGGGAAAUGGAGGGGUUAAAGAAGCUGCUGGGGAGGGUUAAAAACAAUGUGUUCUCACUCGUAGGUGGGAAUUGAACAAUGAGAACACUUGGACAC
rnacentral:lncRNA from 1 species